rnacentral:rRNA from 1 species
GAUGAACGCUAGCGGCAGGCCUAACACAUGCAAGUCGAGGGGCAGCACGUCUUCGGAUGGUGGCGACCGGCGCACGGGUGCGUAACGCGUAUGCAACCUACCUCUUACAGUGGGAUAGCCCAGAGAAAUUUGGAUUAAUACCGCAUAGUAUGCGACAUCAGCAUUGAUGACGUAUUAAACAUUCAUGGGUAAGAGAUGGGCAUGCGUUCUAUUAGUUAGUUGGAGUGGUAACGGCACCCCAAGACAGCGAUAGAUAGGGGCCCUGAGAGGGGGAUCCCCCACACUGGUACUGAGACACGGACCAGACUCCUACGGGAGGCAGCAGUGGGGAAUUUUGGACAAUGGGCGAAAGCCUGAUCCAGCCAUGCCGCGUGAGUGAAGAAGGCCU